AUACAAACCAAAUGCAUCUCAUAUUAAUCUCAAAUGUGCAAUGGAGUUCAUAAAGUGGUUCAACACUGCCAAGUUACGUUCACAGAACUUGAUAGGGAAAAAAUGAUGUUCUAUAUGUAUUGUGCCUAACAACAAGGGUGAGACACAGAGAAGACUAUCAACGGUACUAACAUGAGUAAGAAGAGAGCACCAUGCAAGAGGUCAUGCAAAGGCACCAGUGAACACAGAUGAAAACCAGGGAUCACUUGGGUGAUAACAAGAAACCUGGUAAAGCCAAAGACAGACCUCAGUUACACACAGAGACUGCUUACCCUCUGCUUUAUUGGUAGUACCAUCUUUAAGCAAAUUUAAAAAGAAAUAAGGAGAGGGAUAAUAGGGAACAGUUAGUAAUAUCAGAAGAAAUGGACACCACCAGUUGGAUUAAAUAAAGUUAGUCAGUUAGUUCUUUAAACAGAAAUGUACUUUUUAUGCACCAAAAGGCAGAAUAAGCAUGAGACACAAACGGCCAAUUGCCUUUUAUUGUAUUUCCUGAUCUUUUAAUAGUAUUUCCGUACCCUUUAUUGAACUUUACCUGACUUUUAGCCUUCCUCUUCUUCUUCUAUAUCAUUUUUAAUUCUACUAUACAUUUUAUAGAUUGUUUUGUUUUGAAAUUUCACAUAGAACAAUUUAUACAGGCCUAUACGAGUAGUACAAAAGUAUUAUCAGUAACUUUUGGGCAUUCACAUAACCAUACUGCAUUUUACUGCAGAUAUAAUUGCAACAAUAGCUCCAUCUGCUGACACAAAGAAAUUAUCACAUAAAGUAUGGAACAGAUUUAAUGUAAAGUAAUAAUCUUUUCUCCCCUCUCCCUCCAAACCCCCCAGCCAAGAUCUUGCAAAAGCUUCGGGCCUCUGAAUGGCUGUGAAGGAGCUGCAAACAGCUCCUAAAUUAGCUUCCCAUGCAUCAAAACUCAUUGGAGAACAUACCAUGGAGGUCCUUUCUAACCAAGGAGAAUGAGCCUUAUAUGAAUGGGUUAACUCCUGUUGCCACCAAGACAAGUAACUGAGAGAAGCUGAAUGAAGGGAUCUACAUCAACAUCUCUAGAGGAGGAUUGAUUAGAAGAGAGGGCAGAAGCUCCUAUCUCUGAUCAUUGCUGACAACCAACCAUUCUGGUGGAAGCAACACCAUCAUCUCUUGAUUCCUGACGUAUGGUUCCAAUGAACCUUGGGCCCUGCAUUGUAAGAUGACCACACCACUGGACACUCCUUUGGAUUGAUGCCUUGGAUUUUUUACUGACCUAUGUAUUUGUGUCAUAGAUAUACAGUACGCUGUUUGUGAAAAUACAGAUGUCCCAUACUUAAUCACCUCAGGCCUCUUCUGCAGUUUCUAGAGUAAAAGGAGCCAAGUUGCCAUGAUGACAAGAGAGUAACUACCCAGAAAGCCUAACGACCCAAGCACUGCUAAAUAAAACCACAAAUAAGCUUACCUAGAGAUGCAUAUGAGCCGGGGGGCAGAGCUGCAGCAGAGCUGAAGGGGAUGUCUGAUCCGGAAGAUGUUACUUUUGAUUUGGCACUGGCUGCUGCAUUCACAUCAAUGUCACUGCGAGACC